rnacentral:rRNA from 1 species
UACGUAGGGUGCAAGCGUUAAUCGGAAUUACUGGGCGUAAAGCGUGCGCAGGCGGUUCGCUAAGACCGAUGUGAAAUCCCCGGGCUUAACCUGGGAACUGCAUUGGUGACUGGCGGCUAGAGUAUGGCAGAGGGGGGGUAGAAUUCCACGUGUAGCAGUGAAAUGCGUAGAGAUGUGGAGGAAUACCGAUGGCGAAGGCAGCCCCCCUGGGCCAAUACUGACGCUCAUGCACGAAAGCGUGGGGAGCAAACAGG